UACGAGGUGGGCAAGCGUUAUCCGGAAUUAUCGGUGGCGUAAAGCGUGCGUAGGCGGUUUGUUAAGUCCGCUGUGAAAGCCCCGGGCUCAACCUGGGAAUUGCGAUGGAGACUGCAAGGCUUGAAUCUGGCAGAGGGGGGUAGAAUUCCACGUGUAGCAGUGAAAUGCGUAGAGAUGUGGAGGAACACCGAUGGCGAAGGCAGCCCCCUGGGUCAAGAUUGACGCUCAUGCACGAAAGCGUGGGGAGCAAACAGG
rnacentral:rRNA from 1 species